rnacentral:rRNA from 1 species
GACGUAGGGCGCGAGCGUUGUCCGGAUUUAUUGGGCGUAAAGAGCUCGUAGGCGGCUUGUCGCGUCGUUCGUGAAAACCCGGGGCUCAACUCCGGGCUUGCGGGCGAUACGGGCAGGCUAGAGUUCGGUAGGGGAGACUGGAAUUCCUGGUGUAGCGGUGAAAUGCGCAGAUAUCAGGAGGAACACCAAUAGCGAAGGCAGCUCGCUGGGACGUUACUGACACUGAGGCGCGAAAGCGUGGGGAGCGAACAGG